UGGGGAAUUUUGGACAAUGGGCGAAAGCCUGAUCCAGCAAUGCCGCGUGUGUGAAGAAGGCCUUCGGGUUGUAAAGCACUUUUGUCCGGAAAGAAAUCCUUGGCUCUAAUACAGUCGGGGGAUGACGGUACCGGAAGAAUAAGCACCGGCUAACUACGUGCCAGCAGCCGCGGUGAAUACGUAGGGUGCAAGCGUUAAUCGGAAUUACUGGGCGUAAAGCGUGCGCAGGCGGUUUGCUAAGACCGAUGUGAAAUCCCCGGGCUCAACCUGGGAACUGCAUUGGUGACUGGCAGGCUAGAGUAUGGCAGAGGGGGGUAGAAUUCCACGUGUAGCAGUGAAAUGCGUAGAGAUGUGGAGGAAUACCGAUGGCGAAGGCAGCCCCCUGGGGCCAAUACUGACGCUCAUGCACGAAAGCGUGGGGGAGCAAAACAGGAUUAGAUACCCCUGGUAGUCCACGCCCCUAAACGAUGUCAACUAGUUGUUGGGGGAUUCAUUUCCUUAGUAACGUAGCUAACGCGUGAAGUUGACCGCCU
rnacentral:rRNA from 1 species